rnacentral:rRNA from 1 species
GUGCCAGCAGCCGCGGUAAUACGUAGGGUGCGAGCGUUGUCCGGAAUUACUGGGCGUAAAGAGCUCGUAGGCGGUUUGUCGCGUCGUUCGUGAAAACUUGGGGCUUAACUUCAAGCGUGCGGGCGAUACGGGCAGACUUGAGUACUACAGGGGAGACUGGAAUUCCUGGUGUAGCGGUGAAAUGCGCAGAUAUCAGGAGGAACACCGGUGGCGAAGGCGGGUCUCUGGGUAGUAACUGACGCUGAGGAGCGAAAGCGUGGGUAGCGAACAGGAUUAGA